rnacentral:rRNA from 1 species
AGCAGCCGCGGUAAUUCCAGCUCCAAUAGCGUAUAUUAAAGUUGUUGCAGUUAAAAAGCUCGUAGUUGAAUUUCGGGAUCAGUACGCUGGUCGUGCCUUGGUAUGUACUGGUGUUACUGGUUCCUACCUUCUGACGAACCGUCAUGUCAUUAAUUUGGUGCGGCGGGAAAUCAGGACUGUUACUUUGAAAAAAU